CUGCUCGCUUCGGUAGCACAUAUACUAAAACUGGAACAAUACAGAGAUUAGCAUGGCUCUUGCACAAGGAUGACACGCAAAUUUGUGAAGCGUUCCAUAUUAAA